rnacentral:tRNA from 1 species
GCGAUUGUGGCUCAUAUAUAGAGCAUCGGUCUUGUAAGCCGAAGUUAAACAUCUUUACGUUUCUAUCGCU